rnacentral:tRNA from 1 species
AGAGAUUUAAGUUAAAAAAACUAAUAGCCUUCAAAGCUUUAAUUGGCAAACAGUCAAUCUCUA